rnacentral:lncRNA from 1 species
UUUUUUGAGUAACGCCAUUCACAGAAUUGAAUAAAAAUCCAGCUUCAAGUACACAGCAUUCAUGGCUUAACAUUGGCCACUGCUCCUGUAGUGGCUGCCUGUUAUUUUCAGUAUUUAAUUGUCUAUGCAUUUGUAUUUCUCUAUAUAAAGCUUCUUUUGGAGCACUGAAAGUUCCAUAACGUGUGUGUUGCCUGAAAGAAAUGGCCUUCAAGGGUUCUAAGGCAGCUGCUAUUUUUGUUCUGCUCAAUGUCGUUUUUUUCACUUGUGUCUCAUCUCAUAACGUACCGGCCUGUCCUCCAAAAGCUCCCCCAGCCCCGAAGAAGCCAGCCAAAUGCCCUAAAGAUACCCUCAAAUUUGGUGUUUGUGGCAACUGGUUAGGGCUGGUUCACGAGGUUCUUGGGACCCCUCCAAGCGAGGAAUGCUGUACCCUUAUCAAGGGUCUUGCUGAUCUUGAAGCAGCAUUGUGUUUAUGCACAGCUAUUAAGGCCAAUGUCUUGGGAGUUGUCAAGCUCAAAGUUCCCGUUGCAGUUAGCUUGCUCCUAAGUGCUUGUGGAAAGAAAGUUCCUGAAGGCUUUAAAUGCGCUUAGAACUCCUUUUCCUGUUCAUUGAUGUUUGUUUCACGUUUGAAACUUGUUUGCUCUUGUAAAACUCGCUUUCCUGUAAGAAGCGAAGCUGAAUGCCUCUCAAUAAAAUGUGUUUUGAGUCCCUUCCUUUUGCUUUGCAUCUGUUCUAAAGAGUUGAGACAAAUAAUGGCAAAAUGCGCAAACAUGUCGAAGCUAGAUUACAGCUUAAGAGCUGCAAGGCAUUUUGGUUAAUUCAUUCACUUUAAACGUGUAAAGGUGCGCAGGAGAAUCAGUAGAAUCCUCAUCAUCUACCCUGUUUUAUAAUAAUAAUUUAUUUAUUUUAAAAAAAUAAAGAAGCUAAUAAGAUGCUGUAAAACCUUUCAGCAAAGCGUCGCAAAAGAAACAGAUGGCCCCCAGCACCAAGGGGUUUAAAUCUUGUAGAACAUGUCCAUAGGAGAGGCAUCAAAGCCCGUUGAAUCACCAAAGGAGCACUCCUUUUCCAGUGCAGCAGUAAGGUUUGAAGCUUUGACUCAAUUGUGCAAACGGAUUUUUGUAGCAGGGCUUUCUCUAAUCGAAAACAUGUUUUUGAAAUGAUAAUUGUGUAUGAUAAUGUACAAUUUGACAUGUUUUUAAGUUUGGGGCUUAAAGAAUGUGUUGAUACUUUAGAAGCAAAAUAAAAUCUAUACAGAAUUAGAGUUUAUUUAUAGUAUUAGAAUUUGUUUACGGUUGCUAUUCUAAUGACCAUCUUUUAUUCUAUGUAAUAGAAUAUCAGAAUAUCAGUACUUGAGCUAUAUUGGACGCUAGUUAUUGAAUGAUAAACUUUCAGCCUAUGCAAUCUUUAGUUUUAGUAAUAGAGUAAGGGUACAUGUUGCUUUAUCAAAUGAAAACCGAUAGACCGUUUCCACCAAGGCACUAACCCCAAGCACAAAAGUAAGACAAUCACUCAUAAAGAUGGGAAAGGGGGCAAAAAACUAUAGGCUAAUACAUGGAAACCUAAGCUCCCCGAUUUUGCAAAUAAUUCAGAUAGAUCUUCACAUGAAUAAGACUAGAGUUACUGAAGAUGGGAUCAUAAUAUAGGUGCCGAACCCUGUCAUGGUGAUGGAUCGAUCAAUCAUUCUGAAACAUCAUCUCUGUCUUUCUUGUUGCUGGGUUUGCGAUGGUUUUCUUCCAUCUGUUUGGCCAUGGAAAGGCCAAAUUCAACAAGUUUUUUUAUGUUAGGCACGUUGUAGUUCUGGGCUAUGUAGAUCCCAGACAGUGUCCCGGACAUGAACGAGAAGGAGCUCCUUAUUAAACCCAUUUGGCUCCCAAGAACUAUUUAGUAUGCAGCUAGCUGUGUAGAGUAUGAGAAAGAGACUUGGCUUGAUCUGAGAGAUGUGAAUCAGGAAUUUGACGGUCUUGAGAAAUCAAAGAUGGGUGUGAAGGGGAUUCGAAAGGCCGAGAUGUCGUAGUUCCCAAGACUCGAAAUGAGCCCUCCUUUUGUGUACAUGGUGACUCCUCCUCCAAGGGUCAACCCUUCUCGGCUAAGCAACAAUUUUUAUCAAAGGAUAGCGACAAUUUAAAGGAUAGAAGACAACAUAGCGUUACUUUUACUUUGUUUCAAAAAAAAUUCUCAAUUUAUCUUGUUUAAAAUAGAUUAUGUAAAACUAUUUAUCCUUAGUGUUUGCUGAACUAGAAAUGAAAAAAUAUUUUUUUAUUAAUAUUUUUGUAUCAUUUUAAUAUGUUAAUAUUAUACAUAAAUUUUUAAAAAAUAUUUUAUAUAUUUUUAAAUAAAAAUUUUUUUUAUUUUUACUAUAUUACCAAACAGAUUCUUCAAGGAUCAUCUUAAGGAUACAUACCGGAAAAUGUUUGCUUUAAUUUUAAUUUCUUUUAAUUAGUACUUUGAUUUUAAUUUCUUUUCAUUAUUACGAGGAAAAGAGAAAAAUGGUAUUGAAUAUCUACUUUCAAGUUCUUGAGGAUAUGGUAAAAUUAGAUGUUAGUCCCUAACUUUCUAAAAUUCUAAAAUGAAUCCCUCGAAGUCACAUAAGAUUUAAGACUUCAAAUCUCAUUCAUUGCAAAACUAUUUGAGGAUAAAAUGUGAUUAGAGAAAUUAUUGUCGUUGAGCAAAUACGGCCCAAGAAAUCAAUAAUAACAGCAGACAAAGAACCAAUCUGUUAAUUAGGCCACUUAUUUCCUGAAUUUUAAUUUAUUUGAGAAUUGAUUCAUCAACUAAAAUUGACCUCCUGCAAUAUCGCUCAUUUAAAAUUGGAUCCUUUUGUUAAUUUUUGUAGGGUUUUUUUCCCUAUUAAUUAACGUUUAAAAAUCAACUCUGUAAAUAAUUUGAGUAUGUUGUACCCUUUACUUCUAGUUUUUGGUUAUUUUAAACCUCCCAUCUAUUUUUGUAUGUGAAAGUCAUAUGAUUUAUGUACAAAUUGAUCCAAACCCUUGAUUUAUUGACUUGUUUCUUAACCUUUAGAUGAAUUUGACUUUUAAAUAAAAAAAAUAAAAAAUAUAUAUUUAAAAAUGAUACAAAAAUAUCCAUAAAUAGGAAAAAAUAUCCAUGAAAAAUAAAAAUAAAAAACAAAAAAGAAAAUCUCAUAAAAUUCGGAAAACAAAAAAAAUCUCAAUUUUCAUCUUUGGACUUUUUUUCUGUAAUUAGAUUUAUUGCUAAAUUUUUUUAUUUUACCUCACAAUCAAUUUAACAGAAAAAUAAAAUAAAAUGGAGGGGAGGUUUAAAGUAAAAAAAAAAGAAAAGAAUAAAAAUAGAAGUAAAGGGUUCAAUACGAUCAAAUUGUUUGUGGAGAGUUCAAUUUGAUGAAUUUCAAUAAUAGGGGGACAAUUUGUGAAACCUACAAAAUCUAACUUGAAGUAUUCAAUUUCAAACGAAUCAAAGUUGCUAGAGGUCAAUAUCAACUUCUUAAAUGAUGAACUAGUUUUCAAUUAACUUAAAUCUCAAAAGAGAUUUGAUCCACUUAAUUAAAAAAAACAAGAAGUCAAAAUUGGAGUAAACAGAAACAAAUUAAACUCCAUCGCUGUCUUUCUUGCAGAUGCACAUAAUUUUAUUAGCAAGUAUAUAUGACAUUACAUAGAGCAGGAGUCGUCCUAUUACUAACUGUGAUGAGUUAAUCAUUCAGAAACGUCAUCGCUCUCUUUCUGGUUUCUGGGUUUGCGAUGGGUUCUUUCAAUUUGUCUAGCCAAAGAAAGGCCUGUCUCGGCAAGUUUUUUGACGUCUGGCACGUUGUAGUUCUGCGAUAUGUAGAUCCCAGCCAGUGUCCCCAACAUGAAUGAGAAGCUUCUCCUUAUCAGACCCAUGGCUGCCUCUUUUCUUCAAGGAACGAUGCUUCACUUGACUGAGCUAGCUACAGAAAAAGAAAAUUAAGCACUACUUAAGCAGGAACUAAUUCGGUAGCUUGGAGAAGGCAAGGUUGUUUAGCAGAGGAUUUAUAUAACUUGUGGGCGGUCCUGACGUAUUUCUCAAGACAUGAAGAAAACCAGAGUGACUCCUCCAGGGGUUUGAAUAUUUUUUUUUUUCAGUCCCGAGAUCUUGGUGAAAUUAUAUGUUAGUCCUCGACUUUUUAAAAGUUACUAUUGAAUAUUAAAAAAAACUUAAUAAUUGUUCAAAAAAAAUAAAGAAUAAAAGAGAAAUCCAUAUAUUUUCUUUUAUAUUUUUUCCAAUGUUUAGAAUACAAGACAAAGAGUCUAUUUAUAAGGAAAAAAAAAAUGAUAGCAGUAAUGGACACUAGAAGACUAAGUGUCAUGGAAAAUCAAGAAACUAAACUGUCAUGAAGUCUAAGAGAUUUUAAUGAGCUUUCAAUAUAUAUAUAUAUAUAUAUAUAUAUAUAUAGAUUUUAUAACAUUUUCUCUUGAACGACUAUGUACUAAAAAUGUGUCUUAUUAAAACUUUGUAAAGAAAAACUCAAUGGGAAGAAAAACCUAAGCGAAGAAAAAGAAGUACAACAUUCUUGUGUGAUUUCUGAAUACUUCAGAAUUCAAUAGAAGGUUUUAUAGAUACUUCAAGUUCACAUUAAUUUGUCCCUUAUCAAAAUGAGAUAGCUUCCGGUUAUUCCAAGUAAUUUCUUGUCAUGCUUCAGGUAGUAACUUUUUUUUCCCUGAUGAUGGGAAAAUAUUCAUUAAAAUGGUAAUGUUCAAAAUGUGUCUUAAAAACAUCACCGGUUAAAGGUUCAAGAAAUCUAAUAAUAGAUGGAGAAUCAAAACCAACAUAAAUUCAUAUUCUAUAUUGUGGAGCCAUUUUAGUCGUUUGUAGGGGCACUAUUGGCGCAUAUACAACACAACCAAAAGCUUAUAAAUGAAAUAUAUUUGAUGGUAUACAAAAAACAAGUUACAAAUGAAAAUAUCUAUGGUAAGCACUUGGUCUAAUUCUAACCAAUAAUGCAACAUGUAAUAUUGCAUGUCUACAAACAGAUGUAGGCAAUUUUUAUUUCAAAUGUAAUGGCCUAGCAAUUAAUUGAAGGCACUUAUAAAUGAUUCUGUUAGACCAUUUUGAUUAUAUACAUGAGCAAUAGGAUAUUUAACAUCAAAUCCAAUAGAAGUGCAAAAAUUAUCAAAUGCUUGAGUAUGCAAAGAUUAUCGAACUCACCAGCAUUGUCCAAUCAAAUUUUCUUGAUUGGAUAAUCAGGAGAUGUGUGUCCGUUGUAUGAUAAUAUGUGUUAUUAAUCUAGCAAAUACAACAUUUUGACUAGAAAGUUAACAAACAUGUGACCAUUUACUUCAUGCAUCAAUCAAUACCAUAAAAUAUCUAAAAGGUCUACAUGGUAGAUAAAUAGAUCCACAAAUAUCUCCUUGAUUUUUUUCAAGAAAAGAUGGUGAUUCUAUAACAACCUUAGAUGGAGAUGGUUUGGUAAUUAAUUUACCUUGAGAACAUGAGCGCAUGAUUUUUCAUUUGGUAAAAGAAUCUUCAGAUUCUUUAAAUGAUGCCCAUGUGAAUUUUCAAUAAUUCAUUGUAUUAUUAUUGAUUCUAAAUGUUCAAGUCGAUCAUGUCAAAGCAUAAAUAUUUUUGGGUUAGAACACUUGUGGUGUGUCACAACAUUUAUUUCAAUAUAUUUCAUGAAUGUGUAAUAAAUUCUAGAAGAGAAAUUAGAUAAUUUUUCAGGUAUAAUCUCUAGCCUAAAAUACAUGAAAAAAUAUAAAGAUAUUCUUUUUUGUCUUCAUCUAUUGUUUCAAUAUGAUAACCAUUAAUACAUAUAUCUUUAAAAUUGAGUAAAUACUUUUAGACUUUGGUGAAUAUAAUGCAUCUUUGCUACCCAAAUUUGUGUUAUUUGGUAACAAAAUAUUAGCUUUUCUAGGGCCUUUAAUCAUGUCUAUUGGACCUAAUAUUACAGUGACAUUAGUUUUAGUUUUAGUUAAUGUCAAAUAUUCAAAGUAUUUUUUUCUUGAAAAUUAUGUGUACUAUUUGCAAGACAUAAAUCUUCAUCAUGAAAAGGCAUGCCUCUUUUUAAAAUAUAAUUAAAGUUUAUUAUUUAACUAAAAAUUGAUAUUAUUUAUUGAAAAUAUAAUAAGAUAAAUAUCUUAAUACAAAAAAAAUAUUAAUCAUCCCCAAGGAUUCCACCACUAAAUAUGUCAUCUAUUUUAUCCAGUGUUUUUAAACCCGGUCCGGUGACCGACCCGACCCAAGGUCCGAGUCACGGGUUUUGACCUGGUCACUCGAGUCAACCUCAUUUUUUUAUAAAUCAAAAUGACAUUGUUUUGGUAAAAAAUAAAAAUAAAAAUAAUCAACGGAUUACAACAAGGUUUUUGAUCGGGUCUUACCAGGUCAACCCGCCGGAUCGGCCAGGCUUUUAACUACCCCUAUUUUUUUAUAAAAUCAGCUUGAUUCUAGCUUCGGAUCAGCCAGGUCCCGAACCGACCUGCCAGUUUUAAAACUAUGAUUUUAUCAGGGUUUUCAAAGAAAUCAGAUAUUUAUAUUCCAAUUCCCCUGGUCUUGGUAAAAAUUAUAUAUUAGUCCUUGAGGCUGGUUUUAAUAACUCCACUCAUCAUAAUAUUUUUAUCCUUUUUCAUUUUGUUUCUUUUUAUAAAAUCUUUUAUCAGUUACAUCCUCAAUCCAACUAUUAUAUUUCAAGAUGAUGGUGCAGGAAGAUUUUCAUACGAUGUGAUUCGUAAUCUACAGCCAAGAUCUGAAAGUAGAACGACAAUUAAAAAAAAUAAAGUAACUAUUUAAUUAAAAACCAUAGUAAAUCAAAUUAACACAGUACAUCAUCAAACCAUUUAUAAGCAACACUGACCUCCAAACAACAACACAGGAUUCUUACAAGUAAGUAACACAACAUAAAUCUUCAUUAGCGCUCUAAUUAUUCUUUCAAUUACUAGCAAGUGGCAUGUCCGAGGUUGUUGCCUGUUCAGUUCCUGGGCUUGCAGCCUGCGUGCUUGACGAGGACAAGUCCGUUUCCGGUGAGCUUCAGGAUUUUCCCAACGUGUGUGCUCCUCUCAUAACGAAGGCUCCAAACACAGUUCCCAUAAAAAAGGCAAAAACAGCCUCAUCUCCCUUGUUGUUUGUUUAUAAACUCUACUCUAGAUAUUGUAAAAGCAAGAGCAAGACUAGAUAUGGUGUUGGAACUAGGCGAUUGAGCUGGUGGGAUUUAUAAAAGUUUUGUCUUAGAGACAUCUUGAUGCCCAAGUUGUCUUUGCAAAUGAUUUCACUAAGCUAGCCUCUACUCCAAGGGUCAACCCCGCUGUCUUGCCGUGUUAAAUAUUUUAUUCUAGAUGGCGGCAUCCAUACUUGGUGGAUAAGGUGCAAAUUUGACUGGGUCAGUUAGCAUUUCUGGUCUAAACCAGCCCCUAACAAUCAAUGAAUUUGCUCUCAUUAAUGGGACUUCCUCGAAAAUAAAUAAAGAACGAAUCAAUAAAGGAAAAGAAAAUAAACUUUUUUAUUUUGUCCUUAAAUCGUAUCUUUGAUAUGUGUAAAUGAUCAUGCUUUAGGUGAUGAAAACUUAUUAUGUUCUUAAACUAUCAUCCAUUCAUGGGGGGUUUUAUUUAUUUUUCUCAGAUUCUUUUUUGAAGAACUUCAUGAAUUGGAUUAAAAUGUAGAUAUAAUAUGCUAGUGAGAGAGUGUAUGAGAGAUAGGGACAGUGAUGCUUGAUACUUUCUAUUAAAAAAUAUGUUUUUGUCUUAAUUGUAUUGUAUUGUCAAAUAACUGGUUGAUAGUGUUGAUGCAAAAAAAUUAUCGUUAUUGUUUAAUUGAAAAAAGAUGUAUUUCUUUAAUUAUUUUUCAAUUUCAGUUUUUUUUUUUUCGUUCUUACCUUUUGAUUUAUAUUGAGAUAUCCCAUAAACUUUGGAGAUGAAAUUAAGAUUUACACAUAGCGGAACAGAAAUAAAGAUAGUAGGUCUAAUCGAAACAAAUCAAAAGUUUUAAAUGAAACUGAAAAAAUACAUGAACCUGGAGAUUAAAAUCUACCCUAAAUUGGCUGGCGACCAUGAAGGUGAGACAAAUCAGAAGAUAGGGACCCUGUUUUCUUUAGCUGUUCUGAGGUGAAAGUAGUUUGGUGCCAGCUAUCUCUUUUCUGUUUGGCAAGAGAGAGAUAAGACAGCGCGUGAGAAUGUUGCUUCGGAUUUCUCUACUUUGCCAAGGCAAAUUAUCCAAUCUGUUCAGUACAGAUUACGUAAGACAACGCUGCUGAGACAUGCUAUGAACAGUAAUCCCAGAUAUGAUUUGUUAUAUACGAUCACUGGGAUUUUGCUGAUAAUUUUCUCGGUCAGAGUCUGUAAAAUGGACUUAGUCUUCUGUCGUGUGUGCUUCAAUUUCCCAGGAUAGUAUCCUGUUUUCAAGCUCUUGUAGGAGGGCGAGCACCAAUCUGGUGUUUUUUUUAGUAAUAAAAUUCUCGAUAAUCAAGACGGGGACCUUGAGAUCCCUGAAAUGUUAAUUUCUGCGAGGACAGAACAAAGAGGACGAAUGUAAACACCAAAUAGAAUGCGAAAUGAUAAGCAAGAAGCUAUCUUGGCCACACAAUUACUGCACAUGGCGAUGGGCCAAAGAUUUUGCUUUUUUGAGCAACGCCAUUCACAGAAUUGAAUAAAAAUCCAGCUUCAAGUACACAGCAUUCAUGGCUUAACAUUGGCCACUGCUCCUGUAGUGGCUGCCUGUUAUUUUCAGUAUUUAAUUGUCUAUGCAUUUGUAUUUCUCUAUAUAAAGCUUCUUUUGGAGCACUGAAAGCUCCAUAACGUGUGUGUUGCAUGAAAGAAAUGGCCUUCAAGGGUUCUAAGGCAGCUAUUUUUUUGUUCUGCUCAAUGUCGUUUUUUUCACUUGUGUCUCAUCUCAUAACGUACCGGCCUGUCCUCCAAAAGCUCCCCCAGCCCCGAAGAAGCCAGCCUGCCCUAAAGAUACCCUCAAAUUUGGUGUUUGUGGCAACUGGUUAGGGCUGGUUCACGAGGUUCUUGGGACCCCUCCAAGCGAGGAAUGCUGUACCCUUAUCAAGGGUCUUGCUGAUCUUGAAGCAGCAUUGUGUUUAUGCACAGCUAUUAAGGCCAAUGUCCUGGGAGUUGUCAAGCUCAAAGUUCCCGUUGCAGUUAGCUUGCUCCUAAGUGCUUGUGGAAAGAAAGUUCCUGAAGGCUUUAAAUGCGCUUAGAACUCCUUUGUUCCUGUUCAUUGAUGUUUGUUUCACUUUUGAAACUUGUUUGCUCUUGUAAAACUCGCUUUCCUGUAAGAAGCGAAGCUGAAUGCCUCUCAAUAAAAUGUGUUUUGAGUCCCUUCCUUUU